rnacentral:misc_RNA from 1 species
UUCACCACUCUGUUUCUGCCAUAGCCAAAAAUCGCAGAGAAAUUCUCAAUUUGUGAAGAAAGGAAGAAGAAGAAUUAUGCAUAAAACAGCACAAUCAUGGUUUACUGGAGGACCAAGUAACGAUCUGCAGAAGACCCCAUCGUCUCUGUUAGCUGAUUGGAAUGCUUAUGCUUCGACACAAGAUGAAGGUUCAUCGUCUGAUCUUGGGUUUGAUCUUGAAGCUGCUGUUAGAACGGCUAAUGACAAAGUUUCCGGCACAUUCAACGUGGUUACUAAAGGAGUAAAAAACUUACCAGGAAGCUUCCAAUCCGCAACCAGCAAUGUUCCUUCUGGGAAGUCCCUCAUGUACUUUGGCUUAUUUCUUGCAGCUGGUGUUUUCUUCAUCUUCAUUGCAUUCACUAUGUUCCUCCCUGUCAUGGUGCUGAUGCCUCAGAAAUUUGCUAUCUG